rnacentral:rRNA from 1 species
GUUUGGGAAUGCAGGUCAAAAUGGGUGGUAAAUUUCAUCUAAAGCUAAAUAUUGGCCAGAGACCGAUAGCGCACAAGUAGAGUGAUCGAAAGAUGAAAAGCACUUUGAAAAGAGAGUUAAACAGUAUGUGAAAUUGUUGAAAGGGAAGCGCUGGCAACCAGACUCGUGCGCGGGGUUCCCCCUUGCUUCUGCUUGGGUCACUUCCCCGUGUCCGGGCCAUCAUCAGUUUCGGGGGCCGGUUAAAGGCCCUGGGAAUGUACCCACGCCUUCGGGGGUGGACUUAUAGCCCAGGGUGUCAUGCGGCCACCCGGGACUGAGGAACGCGCUUCGGCGAGGAUGAUGGCGUAAUGGUUGUCAGCGGCCCGUCUUGAAACACGGACCAAGGAGUCUAACAUCUAUGCGAGUGUUCGGGUGUCAAACCCUUGCGCGGAAUGAAAGUGAACGGAGGUAGGAAGGCUUAAGCCUGCACUAUCGACCGAUCCUGAUGUCUUCGGAUGGAUUUGAGUAAGAGCAUAGCUGUUGGGACCCGAAAGAUGGUG